UACGUAGGGUGCAAAACGUUAUCCGGAAUUAUUGGGCGUAAGGAGCUCGUAGGCGGUUUGUCGCGUCUGCUGUGAAAACCGGAGGCUCAACCUCCGGCCUGCAGUGGGUACGGGCAAACUAGAGUGCGGUAGGGGAGAUUGGAAUUCCUGGUGUAGCGGUGGAAUGCGCAGAUAUCAGGAGGAACACCGAUGGCGAAGGCAGAUCUCUGGGCCGUAACUGACGCUGAGGAGCGAAAGCGUGGGGAGCGAACAGG
rnacentral:rRNA from 1 species